AGACUUAGAACCUCUAAAUUAUUGACUUAUUUUUUAUAUAAGUUCACUCCGAUGAAAGGUGAUUACAAAAUCAUCUACAUUGCUGUCCUCAAAGCGUUAUUUGGAGUUGAUAAUACUUCAGCCACAACCAAGCAGAUUUUUUUUUUGGAGGUCCUCGAAGCAUUAUUUGAAGUUGAUAAUACUUCAAUUUGGAGUUGAUAAUACUUCAGCUAGAAUCUAGUAGAAUCUGUUUUUUUCCUUUGGAGGUCCUCAAAGCAUUAUUUGGAGUUCAUAAUACUGAAGGUAGAACCAAGCAGAAUCUUUUUUUCUGAGGAGUGUCGGUAGCAUAAAUGUGAUUAUAAACAAAGUACACUUGAUAUAUGUAGGCAAUGACAGCUAUUUAUACAAAAUUUAAAUCUGCAAAUGGAUUCAGCAUGUUUAUGGGUUAUUAAAAUUGUCUAAUUUCUUAGGUUCUUUAUAGUACACGUGUUGAAAAUAAAUGAUUAAGAAUUG
rnacentral:sRNA from 1 species